rnacentral:rRNA from 1 species
UACGUAGGGAGCAAGCGUUGUCCGGAAUCAUUGGGCGUAAAGCGCGCGUAGGCGGCCCCGUAAGUCCGCUGUGAAAGUCAAAGGCUCAACCUUUGAAAGCCGGUGGAUACUGUGGGGCUAGAGUCCGGAAGAGGCGAGUGGAAUUCCUGGUGUAGCGGUGGAAUGCGCAGAUAUCAGGAGGAACACCAAUAGCGAAGGCAGCUCGCUGGGACGGUACUGACGCUAAGGCGCGAAAGCGUGGGGAGCAAACGGG